UAAAUAAUAUGAAAAGUAGGAAUUGAUUCCUUGUGAAACAUUUUCUAGACACCGUACAAAUAUAAUAUUGCUUUUAGAAAUAUAUGUACUCAUUAUUUAAAAUGUUAAUAUAUUAGAGAAAUAACUUCUGAUAUUGAUUUUUAUUUUGUCUUAUUAUUUAUAAACAAAUAUAUUUUAUACUUUGAAAAAAAUAUUAUAAAUUAUUAUUAAAAUGGUUUUAUUUAUUUAUUGGAUAUUCUUGUUUUAUCCAAAAUAGUAUAUAUGUAAUGUUUUAGAUUAUUCCCAGUAAAAUUAUAUGCUAACAAAAGUUCCCUUGUGGAAGUCAAUCCCGUCGUUCUUUUGAAACUUCAGUCGUUGAUAAUGUGUGUUUUGAAUGUUUACUUCUAAUCAGAUCGUGUUGGUGAAUAAAAUUCUUUAAGUCACUGAUUCAUCAACUUGGACCUCUCAAGAAAUAGAAAGUAAAGACAAUGAGUUGUUUAAGGUGAAUGUCUUACAACCUUUGCGAAAGCCUAGGUGGCCUUUUGGUCCAGCAUCGAUAGCCGUAUAGAUGAACGUUCUCAUGUCAUCAUUUUCUUUUAAUUGUUGCAGUCUGUAUAUCAAAGUAAGAAUGAGUACAGGAGGUGGUAGUCAAAAAUAACCGGGCUUCAGAAGAAUUAUAUCAGUGAUGUGGUUUAUUGAACUCGCAUUUACAGUUUUUUCACAGCCCCAUAAUGGUUGCCAUUGUUAAGAUUCUAUAGUGGUAGAAGGAGAAUCAAAACCAAAGAUUUUUUGGGUUAA